AUCGGAGAGUAUACGGACGAUGAUAGGGUGGGGCUCUUGUGGUUGCAUAGGGCUAAUAAAUAAUGGGGGCCGAUUCAGGAAAGGGUUGAUGGGUUUCUGUAAUAAAAUAUGAAAUCGCUGAACCAAGAAGGACCCACUUGCCGUUUGAGGAGUUGGCGGAGAAGAUCUGAGGACGAAGUAAUCUUUUCCAGGGACAAGUUGACGGAAAGUGAUUUUUAGGU
rnacentral:misc_RNA from 1 species